rnacentral:rRNA from 1 species
AUGAACGCUGGCGGCGUGCCUAAUACAUGCAAGUCGAGCGAACAGACGAGGAGCUUGCUCCUCUGACGUUAGCGGCGGACGGGUGAGUAACACGUGGAUAACCUACCUAUAAGACUGGGAUAACUUCGGGAAACCGGAGCUAAUACCGGAUAAUAUAUUGAACCGCAUGGUUCAAUAGUGAAAGACGGUUUUGCUGUCACUUAUAGAUGGAUCCGCGCCGCAUUAGCUAGUUGGUAAGGUAACGGCUUACCAAGGCAACGAUGCGUAGCCGACCUGAGAGGGUGAUCGGCCACACUGGAACUGAGACACAGUCCAGACUCCUACGGGAGGCAGCAGUAGGGAAUCUUCCGCAAUGGGCGAAAGCCUGACGGAGCAACGCCGCGUGAGUGAUGAAGGUCUUCGGAUCGUAAAACUCUGUUAUUAGGGAAGAACAAAUGUGUAAGUAACUAUGCACGUCUUGACGGUACCUAAUCAGAAAGCCACGGCUAACUACGUG